rnacentral:lncRNA from 1 species
UGUUUAUUAAGACAUUACUGGUUCUUAAGCACAGCUGGCUCUAUAAGCCAUUUUCCAUAUAUUAUCACACAUUCAGGAAAGUUUCUGAGACGAUAUAUCAAGACAGGCUUCUCUUGUGACUCAACUGGACUUCAAAUAGUCUCUUUAGAAGUCUGAGUAAUGGUGCAACCUAUAAUCAGGGCCUUGCCCUUUUCUUUCUUUCUUUUUCUUUUCUUUCUUUUCUUUUUUUGAGUCGGAGUCUUGUUCUUGUCACGGAGGCUGGAGUGCAAUGGUGCAAUCUCAGCUCACCACAACCUCCGCCUCCUGGGUUCAGGUGACAGCCUCCCAAGUAGCUGGGAUUACAGGCACCUGCCACCACACCUGGCCAAUUUUGUAUUUUUAGUAGAGAUGGGGUUUCUCCAUGUUGGUCAGGCUGGUCUUGAACUCCCAACCUCAGGUGAUCCACCCGCCUCGGCCGCCAGGGCUGCUCUUGAAAUCGUGGUCUCAAGCAAUACUCCCGUCUUGGC